UACAGAGGGGGGCGAGCGUUAUUCGGAAUUAUUGGGCGUAAAGGGCGCGUAGGCGGCUUUGCAAGUGACGGGUGAAAGCCCUCGGCUUAACCGAGGAACUGCCUGUCAGACUGUGAGGCUUGAGACCGGGAGAGGUGAGUGGAAUUCCCAGUGUAGCGGUGAAAUACGUAGAUAUCGGAAGGAACAUCAGUGGCGAAAGCGACUUCCUGGACCAAUACUGACGCUCAUGUGCGAAAGCGUGGGGAGCAAACAGG
rnacentral:rRNA from 1 species